rnacentral:tRNA from 1 species
GCGUAGCUCAGUCGGUAGAGCAACUGACUUUUAAUCAGUAGGUCAUGGGUUCGAAUCCCAUCGCG